rnacentral:rRNA from 1 species
UACGAGGGGGGCGAGCGUUGUUCGGAAUUAUUGGGCGUAAAGGGCUCGUAGGCGGUUUGUCGCGUCGGGAGUGAAAACACCGGGCUUAACUCGGUGCUUGCUUUCGAUACGGGCAGACUAGAGGUAUGCAGGGGAGAACGGAAUUCCUGGUGUAGCGGUGAAAUGCGCAGAUAUCAGGAGGAACACCGGUGGCGAAGGCGGUUCUCUGGGCAUUACCUGACGCUGAGGAGCGAAAGCGUGGGGAGCGAACAGG